AAUCUUUUCAUCGAUUCACAAACCUUUACAUACAUGUGAAACAUUUUUACGUUGAGUAUAUUUUAUACAUGUAUACAUAUAUGUGUGUACAUGCAUAUCCACUUCUGCUGUUUUCCGGUGUUGUGUUGUGUUGUUGUCGUAAGGAAUUCCGUACGAACGACAAGCAACAUAACAUCAAUACAGCAGUUGUUGAUGUAUGUAUCAUUACUAUAUAUGAUGUAUCAUAAAAUAUACUCUUUGCCAACCAAAAAAUUCACACCAAACCAAACCUAAAAUAACAAUUCCAUUGAGGUUGCAGCUCAAGGAGCUGUAAAAUCCUCACCUAACCAAGACAACUCUUAACAACGGAUAUCUUGGCUCUCAGAUCGAUGAAGAACGCAGCGAAAUGCGAUACGUAGUGUGAAUUGCAGAAAUACGUGAAUCAUCGAAUCUUUGAACGCAAAUUGCGCUCGAGGCUUCCGGCAAGAGCAUGUCUGCCUCAGCGUCGGGUUAUAUAAUUCUCCCAAAACAUUUUCACUCUGUUGUUGCUGUAAUAAACAUAUAUUAUAUCUUUAUUUAACGUACAGCAGAAGAAAAAAUGUUUUUGGAGGAUCUGGCUGUCUCUCUCUGUGUGUGUGUGUGUUUUAAUUAACUUAUUACAUCACAACACAAGGGGGUCAGCUGAAGUAUGCAGCUGCUGCAAACCAUUAAAACCAUAAAAAAUGGGCCUCUACUGGGUAGGCAACAUCUGCUUGCUGCAAAUGCUUAAGUAGAUGGCUUUUUUUCUGGUUCGUUUUCUGGUUUGGCUCACCACCAAAAAACAGGAUGCGGACUGGAGAUAAAAUUAAAAUAAACAAUCUAUUUAUAUUAUUUCAUCUCCUUCUCCCGUAAACACUUAUCAUUUAUCUCGACCUGAGCUCAGGCAAGA
rnacentral:sRNA from 1 species